rnacentral:ncRNA from 2 species
UACAGAGUAGAAGAUAAAGCGUUAAGUGCUACGGGGAUGGGAUGUCGCCCUGUGGACGAAGGAGAAAUCCGCGGUUUUAUUUUCGCAUUCGCUGCA